rnacentral:rRNA from 1 species
GACGAACGCUGGCGGCGUGCCUAAUACAUGCAAGUUGAGCGCUGAAGGUUGGUACUUGUACCAACUGGAUGAGCAGCGAACGGGUGAGUAACGCGUGGGGAAUCUGCCUUUGAGCGGGGGACAACAUUUGGAAACGAAUGCUAAUACCGCAUAAAAACUUUAAACACAAGUUUUAAGUUUGAAAGAUGCAAUUGCAUCACUCAAAGAUGAUCCCGCGUUGUAUUAGCUAGUUGGUGAGGUAAAGGCUCACCAAGGCGAUGAUACAUAGCCGACCUGAGAGGGUGAUCGGCCACAUUGGGACUGAGACACGGCCCAAACUCCUACGGGAGGCAGCAGUAGGGAAUCUUCGGCAAUGGACGAGAGUCUGACCGAGCAACGCCGCGUGAGUGAAGAAGGGUUUCGGAUCGUAAAACUCUGUUGGUAGAGAAGAACGUUGGUGAGAGUGGAAAGCUCAUCAAGUGACGGUAACUACCCAGAAAGGGACGGCUAACUACGUG